rnacentral:rRNA from 1 species
UGGCUCAGGAUGAACGCUAGCGACAGGCCUAACACAUGCAAGUCGAGGGGCAUCGGGGCGAGGAGCAAUCCUUGCCGCCGGCGACCGGCGCACGGGUGAGUAACGCGUAUGCGACCUGCCCGUUGCAGGGGGAUAAUCGGGAGAAAUCCCGUCUAAUACCGCGUAACGCCGCGGGGCUGCAUGGCCCUGCGGCCAAAGGGAGCGAUUCCGGCAACGGAUGGGCAUGCGUGACAUUAGCUAGUUGGCGGGGCAACGGCCCACCAAGGCGACGAUGUCUAGGGGUUCUGAGAGGAAGGUCCCCCACACUGGUACUGAGACACGGACCAGACUCCUACGGGAGGCAGCAGUGAGGAAUAUUGGUCAAUGGGCGCGAGCCUGAACCAGCCAAGUCGCGUGAGGGAUGACGGCCCUACGGGUUGUAAACCUCUUUUGUCGGGGAGCAAAUUCCGCCACGUGUGGCGGAGUCGAGAGUACCCGAAGAAAAAGCAUCGGCUAACUCCGUGCCAGCAGCCGCGGUAAUACGGAGGAUGCGAGCGUUAUCCGGAUUUAUUGGGUUUAAAGGGUGCGUAGGCGGACUGUCAAGUCAGCGGUAAAAUACGGGGGCUCAACCUCCGCCCGCCGUUGAAACUGACGGUCUUGAGUGGGCGAGAAGUAUGCGGAAUGCGUGGUGUAGCGGUGAAAUGCAUAGAUAUCACGCAGAACUCCGAUUGCGAAGGCAGCAUACCGGCGCCCAACUGACGCUGAAGCACGAAAGCGUGGGUAUCGAACAGGAUUAGAUACCCUGGUAGUCCACGCAGUAAACGAUGAAUACUAGCUGUCCGGGGCGAAUGAGCCCUGGGUGGCACAGCGAAAGCGUUAAGUAUUCCACCUGGGGAGUACGCCGGCAACGGUGAAACUCAAAGGAAUUGACGGGGGCCCGCACAAGCGGAGGAACAUGUGGUUUAAUUCGAUGAUACGCGAGGAACCUUACCCGGGCUCAAACGACACAGGAACGUACCUGAAAGGGUUCGGCUCUACGGAGCCUGUGUCGAGGUGCUGCAUGGUUGUCGUUAGCUCGUGCCGUGAGGUGUCGGCUUAAGUGCCAUAACGAGCGCAACCCCCAUCGACAGUUGCUAACAGGUUAGGCUGAGGACUCUGUCGAGACUGCCGGCGCAAGCUGCGAGGAAGGCGGGGAUGACGUCAAAUCAGCACGGCCCUUACGUCCGGGGCGACACACGUGUUACAAUGGCAGGUACAGCGGGAAGCCACCUGGCGACAGGGAGCGGAACCCGAAAGCCUGUCUCAGUUCGGAUUGGAGUCUGCAACCCGACUCCAUGAAGCUGGAUUCGCUAGUAAUCGCGCAUCAGCCACGGCGCGGUGAAUACGUUCCCGGGCCUUGUACACACCGCCCGUCAAGCCAUGGAAGCCGGGGGUGCCUGAAGUGCGCUGCCGCGAGGAGCGCCCUAGGGUAAAACUCGGUGACUGGGGCUAAGUCGUAACAAGGU